CGAUGUCAACUAGCCGUUGGGACUCUUGAAGUCUUAGUGGCGCAGCUAACGCACUAAGUUGACCGCCUGGGGAGUACGGCCGCAAGGUUAAAACUCAAAUGAAUUGACGGGGGCCCGCACAAGCGGUGGAGCAUGUGGUUUAAUUCGACGCAACGCGAAGAACCUUACCUGGCCUUGACAUCCAGAGAACUUUCCAGAGAUGGAUUGGUGCCUUCGGGAACUCUGAGACAGGUGCUGCAUGGCCGUCGUCAGCUCGUGUCGUGAGAUGUUGGGUUAAGUCCCGUAACGAGCGCAACCCCUAUCCCUGGUUGCUAGCAGGUAAUGCUGAGAACUCCAGGGAGACUGCCGGUGACAAACCGGAGGAAGGUGGGGAUGACGUCAGGUCAUCAUGGCCCUUACGGCCAGGGCUACACACGUGCUACAAUGGCGCGUACAGAGGGCUGCCAACUCGCGAGAGUGAGCCAAUCCCUUAAAACGCGUCGUAGUCCGGAUCGGAGUCUGCAACUCGACUCCGUGAAGUCGGAAUCGCUAGUAAUCGCGAAUCAGAAUGUCGCGGUGAAUACGUUCCCGGGCCUUGUACACACCGCCCGUCACACCAUGGGAGUGGAUUGCACCAGAAGUAGUUAGUCUAACCUUC
rnacentral:rRNA from 1 species